AUUGAACGCUGGCGGCAUGCUUUACACAUGCAAGUCGAACGGCAGCGCGGGCUUCGGCCUGGCGGCGAGUGGCGAACGGGUGAGUAAUGCAUCGGAACGUGCCCAGUCGUGGGGGAUAGCCCGGCGAAAGCCGGCUUAAUACCGCAUACGACCUGAUGUUGAAAGCGGGGGACCGAAAGGCCUCGCGCUAUUGGAGCGGCCGAUGUCGGAUUAGCUAGUUGGUGGGGUAAAGGCUUACCAAGGCGACGAUCCGUAGCUGGUCUGAGAGGACGACCAGCCACACUGGGACUGAGACACGGCCCAGACUCCUACGGGAGGCAGCAGUGGGGAAUUUUGGACAAUGGGGGCAACCCUGAUCCAGCCAUGCCGCGUGCGGGAAGAAGGCCUUCGGGUUGUAAACCGCUUUUGUUCGGGAAGAAAUACUCUGGGCUAAUACCCCGGGGGGAUGACGGUACCGGAAGAAUAAGCACCGGCUAACUACGUG
rnacentral:rRNA from 1 species